CCGCACCAUAGCUUUGCAUAGGAGCUGCCAUUGCUGCUCUCCAAAACCGUCAGUAUGCCUGUGCUGGGAUUCAGUCUAGGAUCUGUCAGAAGCCCUCAGACUGUGAUGGCUGCCUUGGCCUCUACACUUGCAAACUGCCGAGAGGGAAGUGCGAUUUGAAAGCAGUUUCCAGGGAAACAGGUGGAUUCCAGCAAAGCGUGCGAAGCACAUGAGGCACGUAACCCUGCUAUGACUGGAACAAUGUAGCCCCGUGUCAAGCUGACAAGGUUGCACUGCCAUCUAGAGACCAAAGCUUUCUGCAUUUCUUUAUAGAUUUCAUUUUCUGGGUUUCACUUUAAUAAGAUGUAAGCACGCCACACACAAACCAUGUAACACUGUCUUCUGUAAGCCUUUAGUACUCCUUCCAUAAGCUACAACCGGAAUUCAUGCUAUCCUUAAGGCUACCAGUGAAACUACUUCAUGGGCUACCAAGCCAAGGGCUGGAGGGCACCUUAGAUUUGUCCUGCUACAGGCAGACCACAAAGGAAAAUGAGCCUAGCUAUGAUCAUGACCUGAUUUAUCCUGCACUCCAAGGGUGGGUGUUUUUCAUUAAAAGCUGCCAGUGGUCACAACUCUGGUUUCAUCAGGGUCACACUCAGCGUGAAAUUCAGCUAAAAGUUCAGCUACCACCAGAAAUGUCUCAAGAAAUCUUUCUGGGUCUUUCCUUGCUGUGACUCCAACAUAACUAGUAUCCUUCAGACCUGCUACAUUGCUCCUCACAAUGCAGCCAUCUCCACAACCGGAAGCUGUGUAGCCGUGCUACUAAAGGCAUACUGAUUAGGACAGCCAUUCAGUAGGACUAAUUAGUCCACAAAGAGAUGGCUGCACUGUUUUUGGUUGAGGUGGUAGCAUGCAUGCUUCAUGGCACCGCUACCAGGCAUAGUAUCUUUACAGUGCAGCGGGGGCUCAGGGGCAUUGCUGAGCUGUUUCUCCCUGUUCAUCUGUCAUUACAUUUCCCCUCCAUUCUUUGAAGUAUAAAGAAACAGCUUUUGUUAAGGGAAGAUAAAUUAAGGUGGGAUGUCGCCACCACAAGACUUUCAAAGCUCUUGGUAGUUGCAGUGUUCUUUUGAUAGCUUCAGCAAUGAUUAGCUAGGGUCUUAGCAAAGCACAGAAUCAGAGAGCUGUUGAGACUGAAAAAGACCCAUAAACCUUAUCUAUUUGUUUUACUGCCUGAUUUUGCCCAGGUCAUGCAACUAUAGAACAAAACUGGUGGUCUUAAGUGAUCUCUUCUGCUGACUCACUAUAAAUCAUAACUUGCACAUGUCAUAGAUGUUCAAGUGACAGGAGAAGACGUGUGGCUUUUUUGUCAAGUAAAAAAUUAUUAUAAACCACACAAGUGGUAUCCAAUGUGAAAAGGAUAUGGAUUUUGUGCAGGUAGAUGGGAAAGCUUCUAAAUAAAGCAGAUUGGUAA